AUUCAGCUGACAAGUCCCCAAUAGGACGAAACGCGCAUCCUAGAU
rfam:Schistosoma mansoni strain Puerto Rico chromosome 3, complete genome